UUUCGUGAUUUUAGUAUUUCAAAAUAAGUUUUUGGGUGGGAAACAAUUUCAACCGAUAGAUAUGAAAUGUUUGUGAUGUAUGUAUUAUACUAUUGUGAAUGUACGACUGUGAAUGGAUGUGGUUGUGACUUGUAUUAUGUGCGAUGCCGCGCAAAUACAGGGAGACUCUGUCCGUGUGGAAGUGAAUUCUCUAUAUUUGUGGCGGGUCUAUUAU
rnacentral:lncRNA from 1 species